AGUAUUCCUUUGGCUCCUAAUAAGAAUGAGCAGUCAUUUGUAAGCUCUGUUGUUUUUCUAGAGGAAGAAGAAAAUGUGCAGUGUAAAACAAGAGAAUGGUAACUGAAGUGGAGUUUUUACCUUGCCAUUUGGAAGGCUUUCCAAGACAGAUGAAAAAUUUACAGAAAGGAUUUCUAUCUACUAAGAUGACACUGCCUCUUACUCAAGCCAGAAGUCUCUGUACUAUAGAAAUAAAUGAAGAACAGAAUCAUCUGAGCAUUUUCUCACUCGUCCAAGUGGUUUCUACUACUUAUCUCUCUCUGAAGGAAUCGUCCUAAAGUGAUUGCUUUUUUAUUAAGGCAAACUUGAUCUAGGGACAUUAUUGUCUGUUAUGCAACCAACAGAUCCAUAUAUCAAGGACUAUGGUGAUAUCAAGACAGGCAGAACUAUGCAAGAACUGGGAUGCAGGACCACGGAUUUAUUAAUACAAAUAUUUUGUAAUUUCA